CCUCGCUUCCUGCUUGGCACACCUGGGACCAGCUCCACUUCCACUCAAGGGAGGUUUCCUGCUCAGCUUCAGUAGAGGGAUUCCGGAGAACUCUAUAUGAUGCCGUGAGAGGGAAGGAAGGCGCGGGCUGUGGAGUCAGUCUGGGUUCCGCCCUGAUCUCAUGCGAGGAGGAGCUGAGUUUGCCUUGGGCCAUCUGGUUUCUCAGAUUCUUAGUGGUUUAAUCUCAAAAGAGUUGCAUAGCAGUGUUUGCCUCACUCAGUGUGAAGCUGCAAGGGAGCGCACACCUGCCCCAGGCCGUGUCUGGAGCACUGUGGGUGCUGACAGCUAUCACCCUCCAUUUCCUCUCUUUUGCUGAACAGAAAGUAGCUUCACCUGGAGACCAUGGCAUCCACUUGAUGAGUCCACAUUGCUGUCAUCUUUUGUUGGAAAUCUCUUCUAGAAAUGCCUGUUCUUUGGCUGGAAAAGGUUAAGAUUCAGGUCAUUCUACAAAACCCACCAAGCAGCCGUGUGAAAUAUGACACAGAUCUUCAAACCACAGACCUUACUGAAGGGGCUAAGGAGUAGAAGGCUGAAAGAAAGACUGUUCGUUCACUUUCAAGCACGAAUCUUCCACUGCUGUGAGACGCCGAUGCCCGAAUUUUCAGAGAAUUGCUUUGCUCCUUUCUUCCUACGAGAGAAAAGCACGAAGCCCCUUUCCCUGCUGCCGACUUUCCCGUCUGCCCCUGGUGCCAGGCCGCCUGCGUUUUCACAGGAAACUCCGCCGACGAGGAGCUGUGUAAGAUGUCUGCCUGAGGUACGGUCACUUUCUGCAGACUUAGAGCAUGAAAUAAUCAGGACAACAUGUCAGCCAGGUCAUACCCUUCGGUUGACUAUAGUUUUGUCUGGGAGUGAAAUUUUAAACUGCCAAGCAACUUCUGUGUUAUGUUGUAAUCAUUUAGAGCCUUCCCAUUUUUAUAAGACUUUUGACUUAUCUGUUUCUUGCUUAAAUGCUUUCUUCUUCAGUUAUGCCUUUCCCGGAUGGACAUGUAGGCUGUGCUAUGUCUUGAGAGGCACAGGGAAUCCAGUCACUGAGGCGUGCUCACUGUGGCUUCAACCACGGGCAUCGAUUUCUCCCCUAAAACCCUCGAGGAGACACUUGGGGGCUGUUCUCCUGGCUUCCUCAGCUGCACGUUCACACCUGUGUCUGGGCCUCAUGGCCUCCCUCACCGGGCCGCAUAGGAAGGCUAUGGUGGGAACAGCUGUUGGGAACGGCACCCGGGUCUCAAUCGUGGACUGAAGUAAAGCCAGCUGCAGGUCCUCAUCCUGCCGCCCCGUCCCUGCAACGAACUGCAGCCCCUCUCAUCAACAGGGGGCUCCUUCCCCACCUUUGGAGGCCGGGCAGCCUCUGUCUUGCUUUGGCCAGUAGGAUGGGGGCCUGGCCCAGCCUACGCUCAAGACGCCCUGAGCUCUUGCAGUUCCCACAAAGCCCUGUACUGUCACGAGCUGAGAGUCUCUGCGGGGCCCACCUGUCAUGGGAGGGGGCUUGGCAAAGCUCAGCGAAGCCACCCCGCCGACUGGCUGAGCAGAUACAUUCAUUCUCCUCCGCCCCAGCUCAGAUCGCAGCCCUGCCCCAACACCACCUCGACGGUGAGCAGGCAACGGUGGUGGUGGUUACAUGCACAGAGGUUUGUGGUUAUUUCUUGUGGUUACCACUGUGGCCGUAGAUAACUGAUAAUGGAAACAAUAGAGGGAUAAAGAUGUGUAAAUACAGAAAAUCACUCUGAAGUCUACCCUGCAGAGAAAACUAUUAUUAACACUUGGCAGGGGUGCCUUUAUUUUUCUAUAUACUCCUUUUUCAAGUGUCGACAUUAUACGGUAUGUAAUUUUUUUCAUUGAAGGGUAUACGUUUGUUGUUCAUUUUAAUGAACACUGUUCUUAAAUAUCAGUGUAAUAACAUGUAAAUAUUGGGUUAUUUGUAGAGUUCAAAAUUUGUAUAAGCAUUCCAAUUUUGGAUAUUUGAAUUUUUAAAAUAUUAAUGCAAUGAACAUAUCAAUACAUAAUAUUUUUGCUCAUAUGCACUUUACUUCUUUCCUUAAGAUGUAUUCUUAGAGAUGGAGGUCCUGGGC
ensembl:lncRNA